UACGGGGGGAGCAAGCGUUGUUCGGAUUUACUGGGCGUAAAGGGCGCGUAGGCGGCCACUGCAAGUCGGUUGUGAAAUCUCCGGGCUUAACCCGGAAAGGUCAGCCGAUACUGCAGGGCUAGAGUGCAGAAGGGGCAACUGGAAUUCUCGGUGUAGCGGUGAAAUGCGUAGAUAUCGAGAGGAACACCUGCGGCGAAGGCGGGUUGCUGGGCUGACACGUGACGCUGACAGCGCGAAAGCUAGGGGAGCGAACGGG
rnacentral:rRNA from 1 species